GCUGUCUUGGAAGGUUGCUAUGGUAACAUGAUAAGCACCAUCAUGAUAUUCACUGAUGUCUAAAUGAUCUAAGUUGGUAAUGUCAAAGUUCUGUUCUUGUAGUCUAAUUUUCGCUUUGUUGUUUCACAAAAAGUUUAAUCCUAUAAAUAAGCUCUAGCAAGUAAUGUUCAAAAUUAUGAAUUUCUGGUAAGAUGUCCAAAAGAAAGUUGAAGCACUAUAUUUCUGAUUAUUGCAUACACACAUCCACGGACACUUAUUGCAUCCUUGAUCGUUGAUCUCUGUGUAUUGCUGUAGUGGUGUUUAGACAGUACAGCUGAUGUUGACUGAUACAGCUAAAAGAAGCUCCACUGUCAACUAAACAUCUCACUUGAAGUGUUCUCUAGUCCAAUUUCGACAAAGUUCCUCUCCAUGGUUGUAGUAAACUGGAAACUUGCUGUUCCUGGUAUUACACUGGAUAGCCUGGCACAUCUGUCUUUUUGGCAGCACCAUCCUUUUGAGAUUCUCUUUCUCCCCAUGAUAAUUCUACUCCAAUUACCAAACUGAAACUAAAAGUAAUUUUUGUCAGUAUAUUGUUUAUGUUCUAUUUUCUCUCAACUAAAUGUAUGAGUCAUGAAUUUCCAGAUCGUAUAAAAUUAUUUGCACAAGUACAGUUUCUCCUGAACUGAAUGUUAACUUCUGUAAAGUUUUUGCACAAACAAAUAUU
rnacentral:lncRNA from 1 species